rnacentral:misc_RNA from 1 species
GGAUUGGCAAAUAAAUUGGAUAAGUGCUUCUACAAUGCUUUGUAAACUGGAAAAGAGGGACAUUUUUGGUAAUGAGUGCUGGUGCAGAGUGGCGAUCGAAGGUGUGAAUCGAUACAAAUUUGUUGAUCUAUAAUGCAAGGUCUUCUGGACGAUGGAUGAUGAUUGGUAUAGGGGGUCUAUUGCCGGAAACGAUCCGACGACUAAGCAGCACAGAGUUGAGUAUGAAGACA